rnacentral:sRNA from 1 species
GCAAGGAGUUGGUGGCCCACUCCAGUGAAUUUAUUGAUGGUCAGUUGGGCCUGGGUAAACGCAUGUCCGUGCGCUUGCACCUGGCGAUGUGUCAGCACUGCCGGCGGUUUAUCAAACAGAUGCGUCUGAGCCAGGCAGUACUGCGCCAACUGCCGCCCGGGCAGAGCGCCGAGCUGGAUGCUUUGGCUGCCAAGCUGGCGGAGUUGCGCCGCAACCAUUCCUGAUCGCCAGGCCGAUGGCC